GUGAGUAACGCGUAAGAAUCUACCUUCAGGUUGGGGACAACCACUGGAAACGGUGGCUAAUACCGAAUGUGCCGAGAGGUGAAAGGCUUGCUGCCUGAAGAAGAGCUUGCGUCUGAUUAGCUAGUUGGUGGGGUAAAGGCUCACCAAGGCGACGAUCAGUAGCUGGUCUGAGAGGAUGAUCAGCCACACUGGGACUGAGACACGGCCCAGACUCCUACGGGAGGCAGCAGUGGGGAAUUUUCCGCAAUGGGCGAAAGCCUGACGGAGCAAUACCGCGUGAGGGAGGAAGGCUCUUGGGUUGUAAACCUCUUUUCUCAGGGAAGAAAAAAAUGACGGUACCUGAGGAAUAAGCAUCGGCUAACUCCGUGCCAGCAGCCGCGGUAAUACGGAGGAUGCAAGCGUUAUCCGGAAUGAUUGGGCGUAAAGGGUCCGCAGGUGGCAUUGUUUGUCUGCUGUUAAAGAGUCUGGCUCAACCAGAUCAAAGCAGUGGAAACUACAAAGCUAGAGUAUGGUCGGGGCAGAGGGAAUUCCUGGUGUAGCGGUGAAAUGCGUAGAUAUCAGGAAGAACACCGGUGGCGAAGGCGCUCUGCUAGGCCAAAACUGACACUGAGGGACGAAAGCUAGGGGAGCGAAUGGGAUUAGAUACCCCAGUAGUCCUAGCCGUAAACGAUGGAUACUAGGCGUAGCUCGUAUCGACCCGAGCUGUGCCGUAGCUAACGCGUUAAGUAUCCCGCCUGGGGAGUACGCAGGCAACUGUGAAACUCAAAGGAAUUGACGGGGGCCCGCACAAGCGGUGGAGUAUGUGGUUUAAUUCGAUGCAACGCGAAGAACCUUACCAAGACUUGACAUGUCACGAAUUCUGUUGAAAGAUGGAAGUGCCUUAGGGAGCGUGAACACAGGUGGUGCAUGGCUGUCGUCAGCUCGUGUCGUGAGAUGCUGGGUUAAGUCCCGCAACGAGCGCAACCCUCGUUUUUAGUUGCCAGCAUUAAGUUGGGCACUCUAGAGAGACUGCCGGUGACAAACCGGAGGAAGGUGGGGAUGACGUCAAGUCAGCAUGCCCCUUACGUCUUGGGCUACACACGUACUACAAUGCUCCGGACAAAGGGCAGCUACACAGCGAUGUGAUGCGAAUCUCAUAAACCGGAGCUCAGUUCAGAUCGAAGG
rnacentral:rRNA from 1 species